GCUAAAGCUCAGUUGGUAGAGUGCUUGUCUUGCAUGCACAAGGCCCUGGGUUCAAUCCCCAGAACCA
rnacentral:tRNA from 1 species